UGAUCUGCUCAAUGAUUAAAAUUAAAUAGCUGCAGUAAUUUAACUGUACUAAGGUAGCAUAAUCAAUAGUUUUUUAAUUGAAAGCUGGAAUGAAGGAUUGAAUGAAAUAAUAAUUGUCUCAAAUUUAAUAAUAUUAGAAUUUUUUUUUUAGUUAAAAAGCUAAAAUGAUUUUAAAAGACGAGAAGACCCUAUAGAUUUUUAUAAUUUAUUUAAAUAAUAAUAAUAAUAUAAUUUAUAAUUAAUUAAUUAAAUUAUUUAAUUGGGGAAAUUAUUAAAUUUAUUAAAUUUUAAUUUUUAUUGAACAAUAAUUAUUGAAUAAGUGAUCCUAAUUAUAGAUAAUAAGAAUAAAAUACCUUAGGGAUAACAGCGUAAUAUUUUUAGAGAGAUCAUAUUAAUAAAAAUGUUUGCGACCUCGAUGUUGAAUUAAAAUAAAAUUAUAAUGAAGAAGUUAUAGAUUUUUGGUCUGUUCGACCAUUAAAAUUUUACGUGAUCUGAGUUCAAACCGGA
rnacentral:rRNA from 1 species